GGUAUUUGGUGUAAAUGUUUUGUAGGCAACUGUAUUUGGCUUGAAGGAGGUCUUCGGGUUGAGUUAUGUAUACCUCAAGGCUUUCUGGAUGUACAUGUAUAUAGCAUAGAGAAGGUGCUAAUCUGAUGCACACAGUGUGUUAUAUGGCAGAAAAAAAGUGAGCAAGCAAAACUUGCAGUGCUCCAGCACCAUCAAACAGCCCAACACAAAUUAAUAGACUACAAGUCCUCUAAUGUUCAGGUCUCUUACAGUGGACAGAAGGUGAAGAGGGAUGUGCCAAGAGAUAUGCUCAACACCAUCGUUCUGCAGCAAUCACUCAUACUAUUCUCUGCCUUCUAUUCAGUCAUGAGAGAGACUAACAGCAGGUACAAGCUUAGACAAGAAGGUGUUUGCAGAAGCUGGAGAAGACAGGUUGUGUCCAUCUUGCUGCUUUGUGCCAUACACAAGGUAAGAGUUUUCUUCCAAAAAGAGACAUUCUAAAGAGGAAGGUUUGGGACUUUUAUUUGUUAUAUUUUUAAAGGGAAAAGUCUGAUCUUGAUUGCCCUAAAAAAUUGUGAUUCGUUUGUAAUGCAAGCAACCAGGCAAGUGAAAUGCACUUAAUUGAAAGAGGAAAUCAUUUUAGUCAGCUUCAAAUUCUUUUUGCUUCAAAUGCUUAUUCAGCUCAAAUGUUUGUACGAAAAGAUGCUCUGGUGAAAAAUUGAACCCUAUGAUUAAUGACCAAAAUCUUCCCAUCCACACCCAUUCAUCUAAGCCAUCCAAGAAAUCUUUCAAAAACAAAAAAGAUUUAUUUGAGGUCUUUAAGUACACAGCAGGCAGGAAAAAAAAAAAAAUUAAACACAGGUACUUGUGUAGCUUUUAUUUCAUAAAGAAAUGAAAAGUGGCACUAGUAUAUGUGUGUGUGUUUUUCCCCCCAUACAACAACUUAUAUUCUGUUAUUAAAGACUUGCUUGGAUAUCCCCACUUUGCUAUGCAUGAUAUUUUUAGCAUUACCUGAGCUUUCUUCUUAGGUCCAUUUCAUUUGCCAGACAUUCCAGCUAAAGAAACGCUUUGGACCUCAGAGGGUAGACACCAACAGUCCAAUGGCAAAAGACUGCUGUUAGGCU
rnacentral:lncRNA from 1 species